UUUAUUGAAAACCUACUAUGUGCUCGGCAUAGCCCAGGAACUAGUGACCUAUGCCUGAUGGAAAGGAGAUUUGGAGUGGGAGAUGUUUGGUGGCUAUGGCUUAUCCUCACCAGGUGCCAUGUGAAGAGGACAGAUAAUGGAAGUGGGGAGGGAAAGGGCCCUUCACUACCAAGAAUUGAGAUGAGUUCAGUCCUACUUGGUGGUUGGUAGAUGACUGACAUGGUCUCUUAGGGUCCCUUCUGAGCCCAGGAAAUGGUAGUGGGGGCCCUGGCAAGCAUGGAUCCCUCCUACUCUGUGGCUGAGGGUUGAUGGGGCUUCUGUCCAUCUCUUUUCCCAGGUGACAGCGGCAUGGACAUAUGCCCCAGGCUUUCCUGCUGGGGUCCAUCCAUGAGCCUGCAGGUGCCCUGAUGGAGCCCCAGCCCUGCCCUGGAAGCUUGGCUGAGAGCUUCCUGGAGGAGGAGCUUCGGCUCAAUGCUGAGCUGAGCCAGCUGCAGUUUUCGGAGCCUGUGGGCAUCAUCUACAAUCCCGUGGAGUGCCCUUUGGGGAAGUAAGCAUGGUCCGGGACUGGUUGGGCAUUGUGGGGCCUGUGCUGACCCCU
rnacentral:sRNA from 1 species